UCCCUUUUUCCUGCUCUCCACAACUCCUCCGCAUGCUAUACAUCUCUUUUAUUCAUCAUGUUUGUAAGACAGCUAACUAAGAAUAUCUGACUUUUAAAGAAUAUUAACUAACACGUGUGAAAUGUAUUGUUUUUUUUCUUAAUAUGUCACAUUGCCUGUGUGACUGAAAGGUAGUUUUUUAGGUAGUGUUACUUCUAUUUUUCUUAAUAUCACAGGUAACUAUUUAAAUGACUUACAUAUUUUUUCUCAAGCUCUAGCUCGACAUGCAGGACAAAGGUAAGUCCGUACUUAAUGUCAACACAAAUAUUUAGAAAAGUUUUAAAAAUGAUGUAGUGAACUGACUGUAGUCUCUUGUUUUUACAUUAGGUAUAGCCUGUGGCUGAGGGAUCAGAGGUGAGGUGCUUUACACUUGUCCUCUCCCAGCAUUCAGCACUUCAGACACUCAACGUCCAAGACGGAGCUAACAAAGAGAGAUACUCCACCCAGAAGACAGCCUUACCCCAGCCCGAUGAGAAGGAUGGAUGACCAAAUGACAAACUGGAGAGUGGUGCUGUGUUCCAGCUAUGGAAGCUGAGAGUGGACAGAGCUGCACAGAGGACCAACGAUCCACUCUCAGCACUUCAUACCUGACUGGCCACAGCACCACCCCUCCUCCCCCAGGGUGAGGGGGGUCCUGACCCCGCCUGCACAGAGGGAGUUGUGAACAUGCACUUCUGUGUCGGUGGGUUUAGGAGCCUCCUCACACACACACGGAUGAAGCCUG